rnacentral:tRNA from 1 species
GCCCUCGUAGCUCAGUCGGAUUAGAGCAAGUCACUUCUAAUGACAAGGCCGCAGGUUCGAGUCCUGCCGAGGGCGCCA